rnacentral:ncRNA from 1 species
UAAAAAUUUGAUUCUAGUUUUUUAGUUUAGUUUAUAUUUUAUUUAUAUGCGUAUUUUUAAUUUAAUAAAUUAUUUAUUUAAAUAGUAAAUAAUAAAGAGUAAAUCUAUUUAGCAAUAAUUAGUUUUGUACAAUAAUAGAAAUAUUGAUAAAGGAAUAUAUAAUGGUAUUGAUAAAAUUUGUGCCAGCAAUCGCGGUUACACAGAUAAUCCAAUUAAAUUUUUUUUUUAAUAAUAAUUAAUAAGAUAAUAUAUUGAAUAAUUCAAAAUUUAAUUUAUUAGGUGAAAUUAUAAAUUAAUAAUAAGGUUAUUUUAAUUUUAUAUGAUGUUAUGAAACUCUUAUAGUAAACUAGGAUUAGAUACCCUAUUAUAAGGAGUGUAAAUUUAAAAUAUUAAAGUAGUAUUAGUUAUGUUCUUGAAAUUUAAAGAAUUUGGCGGUAUUUUAGUCUUUUCAGAGGAACCUGUUCUAUAAUUGAUGAUCCACGAUUAAUUGUACUUAAUUUACAAGUUUACAUAUCGUCGUAGCUUGAAUUUUUUUAAAGAAACAAAAUAUUCAUAAUUUAUAAUAGAAUAGAAAAAAUCAGAUCAAGGUGUAGCUUAUAAUUAAGAAGAAAUGGGUUACAAUAAAAGUAUUUAACAUGGUUAUAAUAAUUAAAAUUAUUAUAUAAAGUGGAUUUGAAAGUAAUAUAUUUAAUUUAAAAUAUAUGAUUUAAGCUCUAAAAUAUGUACAUAUCGCCCGUCGCUUUCAUUAAAAUAUUAAUUUAAUAUAAUAAAAAUGAAAUAAGUCGUAACAUAGUAGAUGUACUGGAAAGUGUAUCUGGAAAGCU